GUGGGGAAUUUUGGACAAUGGGCGAAAGCCUGAUCCAGCAAUGCCGCGUGCAGGAUGAAGGCCCUCGGGUUGUAAACUGCUUUUGUACGGAACGAAAAGCCUGGGGCUAAUAUCCCCGGGUCAUGACGGUACCGUAAGAAUAAGCACCGGCUAACUACGUGCCAGCAGCCGCGGUAAUACGUAGGGUGCAAGCGUUAAUCGGAAUUACUGGGCGUAAAGCGUGCGCAGGCGGUGAUGUAAGACAGAUGUGAAAUCCCCGGGCUCAACCUGGGAACUGCAUUUGUGACUGCAUCGCUGGAGUGCGGCAGAGGGGGAUGGAAUUCCGCGUGUAGCAGUGAAAUGCGUAGAUAUGCGGAGGAACACCGAUGGCGAAGGCAAUCCCCUGGGCCUGCACUGACGCUCAUGCACGAAAGCGUGGGGAGCAAACAGGAUUAGAAACCCGAGUAGUCC
rnacentral:rRNA from 1 species